UGGGGAAUAUUGCACAAUGGGCGAAAGCCUGAUGCAGCAACGCCGCGUGAGUGAUGAAGGCCUUCGGGUUGUAAAGCUCUGUCUUUUGGGACGAUAAUGACGGUACCAAAGGAGGAAGCCACGGCUAACUACGUGCCAGCAGCCGCGGUAAUACGUAGGUGGCAAGCGUUGUCCGGAUUUACUGGGCGUAAAGGAUGCGUAGGCGGAUUUUUAAGUGAGAUGUGAAAACCCUAAGCUUAACUUGGGGACUGCAUUUCAUACUGGAAAUCUAGAGUGCGGGAGAGGAGAAUGGAAUUCCUAGUGUAGCGGUGAAAUGCGUAGAGAUUAGGAAGAACACCAGUGGCGAAGGCGAUUCUCUGGACCGUAACUGACGCUGAGGCAUGAAAGCGUGGGUAGCAAACAGGAUUAGAUACCCUGGUAGUCCACGCCGUAAACGAUGAGUACUAGGUGUAGGAGGUAUCGACCCCUUCUGUGCCGCAGUUAACACAAUAAGUACUCCGCCUGGGGAAGUACGAUCGCAAGAUUAAAAACUC
rnacentral:rRNA from 1 species